rnacentral:tRNA from 1 species
GUCUCAGUAGCAUAGUGGUUAGUGCACAGCCACGGAUAUGUUGAGGCGCGGGUUCGAAUCCCGCCUGAGAUG